rnacentral:rRNA from 1 species
AGAAAAUAGAUACCCAGGUAGUCCACGCCGUAAACGUUGGGCGCUAGGUGUGGGGCUCUAUCCACGAGUUCCGUGCCGCAGCUAAACGCAUUAAGCGCCCCGCCUGGGGAGUACGGCCGCAAGGCUAAAACUCAAAGGAAUUGACGGGGGCCCGCACAAGCGGCGGAGCAUGCGGAUUAAUUCGAUGCAACGCGAAGAACCCUACCAAGGCUUGACAUACGCAGAAAACCGGCAGAGAUGUCGGGUCCGUAAGGGCUGUGUACAGGUGGUGCAUGGUUGUCGUCAGCUCGUGUCGUGAGAUGUUGGGUUAAGUCCCGCAACGAGCGCAACCCUCGUUCCAUGUUGCCAGCACGUAAUGGUGGGGACUCAUGGGAGACUGCCGGGGUCAACUCGGAGGAAGGUGGGGAUGACGUCAAAUCAUCAUGCCCCUUAUGUCUUGGGCUUCACGCAUGCUACAAUGGCCAGUACAAAGGGCCGCGAGACCGUAAGGUGGAGCGAAUCCCAAAAAGCUGGUCUCAGUUCGGAUCGGGGUCUGCAAC